GUGCUUGCUUCAGUAGUACAUAUGCUAAAAUUGGAACAAUAAAGAUUAGCAUGGUCCCUGUGCAAGGAUGACAUGCAAAUUCACAAAGCAUUCCAUAUUUUC